AUAUUUAGCGCCAGAGCCUUAAAUGGUUGACGAGGAUGGUAGUUAUCGAUAAUUCGGCGGAUGCUAUCACGGAUAAGUAAUCGUUAGAAGUAUUACAAAAAAUAAAAUCAAGAUUAUAACAAAA
rnacentral:ncRNA from 1 species